UACCCUAUGGCUCAGUUGGUUAGCGCGUGGAGCUGUUAUACCACCAGCAACUCCGAGGUCCCAGGUUCGAGCCCUGGUGGGGUAG